UCCGUCGGGGGCUAGCGUUGUCCGGAAUCAUUGGGCGUAAAGCGCGUGUAGGCGGUCCGGUAAGUCCGCUGUGAAAGUCGGGGGCUCAACCCUCGGAUGCCGGUGGAUACUGGCGGGCUUGAAUCCGGGAGAGGGAUGUGGAAUUCCAGGUGUAGCGGUGAAAUGCGUAGAUAUCUGGAGGAACACCGGUGGCGAAGGCGGCAUCCUGGACCGGUAUUGACGCUGAGGCGCGAAAGCUAGGGGAGCAAACGGG
rnacentral:rRNA from 1 species